UACGUAGGGGGCAAGCGUUGUCCGGAUUUAUUGGGCGUAAAGCGCGUGUAGGCGGCCACACAGGUCCGCUGUGAAAACUCGAGGCUCAACCUCGAGCUGUCGGUGGAAACCGUGUGGCUAGAGUCCGGAAGAGGAGACUGGAAUUCCCGGUGUAGCGGUGGAAUGCGCAGAUAUCAGGAGGAACACCGGUGGCGAAGGCGGGUCUCUGGGCCGUAACUGACGCUGAGGAGCGAAAGCGUGGGGAGCGAACAGG
rnacentral:rRNA from 1 species